rnacentral:rRNA from 1 species
ACGCUCGACACCUACGGGAGGCAGCAGUAGGGAAUCUUCCACAAUGGACGCAAGUCUGAUGGAGCAACGCCGCGUGAGUGAAGAAGGUCUUCGGAUCGUAAAACUCUGUUGUUAGAGAAGAACACGAGUGAGAGUAACUGUCAUUCGAUGACGGUAUCUAACCAGCAAGUCACGGCUAACUACGUGCCAACAGCCGUGGUAAUCUGAGCGGGCUGGCAAGGC